rnacentral:rRNA from 1 species
GUUUGAUCCUGGCUCAGAUUGAACGCUGGCGGCAUGCCUAACACAUGCAAGUCGAACGAGGUACUUCGGUACCUAGUGGCGGACGGGUGAGUAACGCGUAGGAAUCUACCUUAAGGUGGGGGACAACCUGGGGAAACCCAGGCUAAUACCGCAUACGCUCGUGAGAGGAAAGCGGGGGACCUUCGGGCCUCGCGCCGAAAGAAGAGCCUACGUCCGAUUAGCUGGUUGGCAGGGUAAAAGCCUACCAAGGCGACGAUCGGUAGCUGGUCUGAGAGGAUGAUCAGCCACACUGGGACUGAGGCACGGCCCAGACUCCUACGGGAGGCAGCAGUGGGGAAUAUUGGACAAUGGGCGCAAGCCUGAUCCAGCAAUGCCGCGUGGGUGAAGACGGCCUGCGGGUUGUAAAGCCUUAGGUGGGGAAGAACGGUGGUGUGCGAACAGUGCGCCGCCUUGACGUUACCCACGGAAU